GUAAUUGAUUUCAAUUUUAGGAAAAGUUGCGUUUCUGCCCUCCGAAGGCAGAGGUCACAGGUUCGAAUCCUGUCGGGUGCGCCA
rnacentral:tRNA from 1 species